UAUAGGUUUGGUCCUAGCCUUUCCAUUAGCUUCUAGCUAACUUAUACAUGCAAGAAUCCCCGCUCCAGUGAGAAUGCCCUCUAUAUCUACUAAUUUGAUCAAAAGGUGCAGGCAUCAAGUUCACUAAUCUCAGUAGCUCACAACGCCUUGCUUCACCACACCCCCACGGGAUACAGCAGUAAUUAAAAUUAAGCCUAUAAACGAAAGUUUGACUAAGUUAAGCUAUAACAAGGGUUGGUAAAUUUCGUGCCAGCCACCGCGGUCAUACGAUUAACCCUAGUUAAUGAAAUACGGCGUAAAGCGUGAUUAAGAGACUAAUUAAAUAAGAUUAAAAUAGUACUAAACCGUAAAAAGUCUUGGUUACCACAAUGAAAAUCAAACACGAAAGUAAUCUUAAAUUUUCUGAACUCACGAUAGCUAAGACCCAAACUGGGAUUAGAUACCCCACUAUGCUUAGCCCUAAACAUAAACAUUUAACAAACAAAAAUGUUCGCCAGAGUACUACUAGCAAUAGCCUAAAACUCAAAGGACUUGGCGGUGCUUUAAACCCCACUAGAGGAGCCUGUUCUAUAAUCGAUAAACCCCGAUACACCUCACCACCUUUAGCAAAUAUCAGCCUAUAUACCGCCAUCUACAGCAAACCCUAAAAAGGUCUUAUAGUAAGCAAGAAAAUUUUGCAUUAAUACGUUAGGUCAAGGUGUAGCCUAUAAGGUGGGAAGUAAUGGGCUACAUUUUCUACUUUCCUAGAACAAAUACCCACGACAGCUUUUAUGAAACCUAGAGCAUAAGGCGGAUUUAGUAGUAAGUUAAGAAUAGAGAGCUUAACUGAAUAGGGCAAUAGAGCACGCACACACCGCCCGUCACCCUCUUCAAAUAUACCCAAUAAUUAACCAUACAUAAUUUAUUUAACCAAAAUGUAUACAAGAAGAGAUAAGUCGUAACAAGGUAAACAUACUGGAAAGUGUGUUUGGAAGAAU
rnacentral:ncRNA from 1 species